CGCGCCAUUGCAUAGGAAGCAAGCAAGCAAGCAAGCAAGCAAGCGAAUGUUCCUCGAUCCCGGGCGUAAAUAGGAUCCGGGUAGGUCUGGUUCCUGCCUAUGGAGGCUAUAUACGGCUGACCAACUCCCAGGCUAUCCAGAAAUAUCUACGCGUUGCUACCUCUGCGUACCAGACCAUUAAGGAAGUGAGACAGCCCGGCCUCGGAGGUAUCGUGUGUAGGUCGCCAGACCCGACCGCUGUCGCGGAUUUCUGGCGUGUUCACCACUCGCGUCAUUGCCGUGCGUGUGCGCCACCGUAGAAGGAAGUGCAAUGAAAUUUAUUCCUGGGGAAGCCGGUGAUCGUAGAAGACGCGGCGACAGACGGAAGAUGGCGUCCGGGGCGCGCGGGUAGCGGGCACACGAGUUCUCAGCCUGUGGUCGUAACAGACUCCCACCUGGACGCAGGCCCUUCGUCUGACUAGCUCCAUAUGGCCACCCAGCCCAGGCCUGGGCGGCGUCUCCAAUAACUCAGCCAAGUGCCAGCCGGUGAACGUCGACAGGGCAUCCGGCCACUGCCAACAUACACAAAAAUGGAUGCUGUGCCCAGCUCCAUCCACAAGACAUGCUUCAAUCUGCUCUUCGUGCGCUCAUCGCCCUGGCUGAGCUGAUUCUGAUUGGUGCAUUGUGCAAUUCUCCUAUUGGACGCAUAGCCACUACAUCAGGAGGGGUGAGAGAGACCGUUUUGUCCCGCGGAAUGACGAAGCUUCACGCUAUGCCACCUCAAUACGUCACAGGGGAGAGGCACCACAAGCAGCACUUUGCGGGGCUGUGAUUAAUCAGUAGCACGGGCGGCGGCCACCUCUCUGGCUGGCGGGGACGCGUCCUGGAGAUUUCUGGAAUUCUGACUCUCACCGGCGUGCGCGGGCUCUUAUUCGAGUCUUCGGAAGAUGUGGCACAGGAAGAAGGCCCCGGCUCGACUUUGGAGCCCGACCCGAGCCAGCAGGUCAGCGCCACGAGCGAGCAGCCCGCCGAGAGGCAGGCAUGGUCAGUUUCAGUUGGCAUGGCUGCAGGCACCGGUGGCUUGUCAUGUGCACAGCAGCGCAGCCCCCCUUCAGGCAGAGCUCCCGUCCAGUUACAGCCUCGACGAGCGCCUCGACGUGCUGACAUCGGGGAGUCGCUGUCAAGAAUGUCAUACCAGUGUUUCCGCAGCCUAGGACAGGCCAACGACAUUCUCACGGCGCUUCGAGAUAUAAAAGAGAAGUGGCGUCAAGAGGUGGCUGUUCGACAGGCCACGGCUCUAGAACGUCUCGCCGACGAGGCCAGCUAACAAAAAGCUGCAGCCGACUGCCAGGCUGCAGCUAUGGAGCGUCUGGUGCAGCAACAUGGUGAGGAGUUGCGUGAGCGCCACCGCAUCGGGGUCCUGGCGCAAGCCCUCAGCACGUCUCUCCAGCAAGGGGAGCAAGGGGCUGCAAGGAGGGAAUGAUCAAGCGGGUGUUACAAUUUCUUUUUUUUUUUUGUCGAGCGAGGGGCUACAAUAAAGAAAGGCCGAAGCGGA